rnacentral:rRNA from 1 species
UACGUAGGGUGCGAGCGUUAAUCGGAAUUACUGGGCGUAAAGCGGGCGCAGGCGGUUUUGUAAGCCAGAUGUGAAAUCCCCGGGCUUAACCUGGGAAUGGCAUUUGGGACUGCAAGGCUGGAGUGUGGCAGAGGAGACUGGAAUUCCUGGUGUAGCAGUGAAAUGCGUAGAUAUCAGGAGGAAUACCGAUGGCGAAGGCAGGUCUCUGGGCUGACACUGACGCUCAUGCACGAAAGCGUGGGGAGCAAACAGG